GCCGUCGUUCCGCGUUUUUCAAUUGCGUUCUAACUGUGAUAAGUUGUUUUCGAGUUCAAACAAAAGUGCUAUUAAUCAAGAAUGAAUUUUUAGGUCAAGCUGAUGGUACAAGGUGCAUAAACAAUAUAAUUUCAGAUGAGAUCAUUUUGUCCUACAGCCCAUAAGGAUGUUAUUCUUGCGUUUCUAAAUCCCAUUGGUCAGGUGAAGCCUGCAGAGCCUCCGGAGAUGUGUGAAAAAUAUCCAUGCGCGAAAACGGACCUCACCAAGAUUCCGGAAGCCAUGACAAACGUACCGAAGACCCUACAAGUCACUGUAGUUGGUAAAAAUCUAUUAAUUUAAUGUAAAAGUAUGAAAAAAAUUUACCAAAAGUGAUGUUGUAAAAUGAAGUGAAAAGAAAAAAACUUUUGAUAAAGGCGAUGAAAUUCAACAUGUUCAGAUUGACGAUCUGGCCACACACACAAUAGCGGCAGAGAAUUUGGGCAAAAGGGAGCUAUCGAUACUUCUAGAGAGAGAGGGAAAGGGCAGUUGGAGUUCGGAACUGCCCCGCGACGCUAACGAAGCUGCGCUAUUCUGGUUGAUUGCUUGUUAUAUAUAACACAC